CCCUUAGAUGUUCUGGGCCGCACGCGUGCUACACUGAGUAAAUCAAUGGGUAAGGGAACACGAAAGUGCAACCUAAUCUUGAAAUUUGCUCGUGAUGGGGAUCGACGGUUGCAAUUUUCCGUCGUGAACGAGGAAUGCCUUGUAGGCGCGUGUCAUCAUCACGCGCCGAAUACGUCCCUGCCCUUUGUACACACCGCCCGUCGCUCCUACCGAUUGAAUGUUCCGGUGAGCUCUUCGGACUGCGCGGUCUGCAGUUUCUGCGUUCCGUGCGGAAAGUUGCGCAAACCUUAACAUUUAGAGGAAGGAGAAGUCGUAACA
rnacentral:rRNA from 1 species